rnacentral:misc_RNA from 1 species
UAAUCUCACUCCUUCAACUUUUGUUGCUGGAUGUGGACUUGGACUCUGUCGUGUUACAACGACUGGUCUGAAAUGCCUGAGUGCACCCUGCUGUUGCAGCGUCUUCAGUGUGAUAAGCAUCUUCACUGAUUCAAGUUCCUUCGGGACACGUAGCAUUGUGGGCUCUGUGCUGACGAACCGUCUUUGGACAAUCUUUGACA